CUUUCACUAACUUAUAGCAAAACGCAUCGCUCUUCUUUUCUCUCUCCGUAAGUUUAAACAUUAAUUUUCUCUCGAUCGACCUCCACCAUCUUCUUCUUCUACAAUGGAUCCAUAUCCGGAAGGUAAAAUAGAGGUCAAUACCCUCAAACAAAUAAUCGAUUUCAAUGGUAGUCUGUGUGUUGUGAGAUCGUCUUCCAGUGUGCCCAGAAUUGCGUGCCGGCAAGUGAAAUCGUCCAUUAUCCAUUUCUUGUGUUCUUUGGAGUCUGGUGGUGCAUCUGAUUUUGGUUGUUGGAGGACGUAUGAGACUUCGAUGUCGGAGAGGAUGAAUUCGAUUUUGGUUUUCCAUAUUGGGAAUUUGUCUCCGGAGCUGUUGAGUUUUCGAGUUGUGGUUAAUUCUCUGUAAAAGAAUUCUGAAAACAUGACUGAUUGAUUGAUCGGAUUGAGCUUGAGAUUGGGUUUUGAUGAAUUGGGAGAGUGUGAUUUUGAGAUCAGUCUAUGUGUGGAAUAUAGAGAGACCUAAUUGAGAUUUGGGGAGUCAUAAAAUACGUCUUACGAUUCAUUGGGGUUAGGGUGAAUUUCGAAGCUCUUGAUUUUCCUGUUUGUAGUUUCGAUUGAAGUGUUAUUUUUCUUCAUUAAAGUUGUUGUUUACUUCAACUGGUUAGUGUUGUCAUUCCUGAUAACGAUGGUGUGGUGGCAGUGAUGAAGUAAAAGAUGGCUCAGUUUGCUAAGAGAUUGUUGGUUACACUGCUUCUGUUCUGUGAGGAGUUGUUAACUCACUUGAUGUUUUCGUAUCUUGUGUGUACUACGACAUUCUGAUGAUACAUGAAUUGGGUGUUUCUACAUACUUAGUACUAUGUUGCACGCACUCAGGAAGAAAAAUCUUCUUGACUCCUGUUCCUCGAAUUGAAUAAAACAAUUAACAAGAAUUCCUGGCUUUUAUGGAUUUGGAGAGCUCGGGAGGCAGCUGUUCCACCAAAUGCAACUCUUCUGAUUUCUUUAGAGUUUCUCUCCUGGAAGAUCGUGACAGAAGUAACUCCUGACAAGAAAGUCAUAAAGAAGGUUCUUAAAGAAGGAGAGGGAUAUGAUAAACCUAAUGAUGGAACUGUUGCCAAAGUGAAGUUAACCGGGAAGCUUCAAGAUGGAACAAUAUUUUUGAGAACGGCUCCAUUUGUUGGUAUUGGUAUUUUAGAGGCUCUUGUUGCCGCUUCUAGGAUGGCAGUUGCAGAGAGGAGGAUAAGAUAUAGUUUAUGGAAGCUAUGCAGCUCAGACGGUUGAUGUGGUCAAAAGGAUGAAAGAGAUUACUCUUGUUAAGAAGACUCCUGAGAAUAUAUUGGAAGAUCAAGGUGUUACUUCCGCAGAGAUAUAAGAUCUGUUGGACGAAUUGCAAGACCAUGUUGAAUCCAUUGACAUGGAGAACGGUAAGUUGAUUUCUUUGUAUGAGUUAGUGAUAUUUGAUUUCAUGUUGUAUGUAAAUUAAUGUUUUGGUAUUGCCUGAUAGAUUUGCUUACAAUUGGUAAUUGAGUGCACGCAUCUAGGAAAAGCAUGCCGAUGUUAUAACUACCAUAGUUCAAAGCAAUCAUAAAAUUCAGCAACUUGUAAUGGAAGAUCGAACCCCUGUUGGCUAAUCUCAUCUCAGAUCCAGAUGUUACUGCUCGAACCGCACAUGGUGUAAUAUCAUGCAAGUAAUAUAUGUCGUCUGUUCUGUAUGCAUGCCAUCGGUUUAGAUAUGCAGCUUUAUUAUCUAUACUGAGGCUGGUUGAUGUUCAAUGGCGUCACUUGAAAUACUUAUGACCUCUUAUGUAUUUUCUAUGGACGUCUUUCAUCUUUGAUUCGAUACAACAAGCCUGGAGUUGCUGCAUUCAGUCUGGCAAAUGGUUAUGGAGCUUUGAGGGAUGCACUGGAUUCAGACGAUGUUAGAUUUCAAAGGCCUAAUUAAGAAGGUGGUGACAGACUCGCAAGAUUUGGUGGUCCAAGAGGUGGAGCACCAGGAGAGUUUGAAGGAGUUAAGGGUUCACAGAGACGAAGCCGGUUUCUGCCAAGAACUUGUUACAAGCUGCGGGGGUUUUGCUACUUUGGAUCUCAGGAACUCAUUGAUAAAAUGGAUAUUUUAGGGAAUUCUACUAACCCAAGUGAAAGAAAGAACCUAUAAGGAUCCAGACUUGAGUAUGAACCAUUGAUGUCAUUAAUCGAUCUAUAGCUCGAGGGACGAAGAAACUUCUGUUCCUGCAUAGAUUUUUCACCGAGCUGGAUAUAGGUUGAACAUAUUGAACUUACCUUCAAGUUUCUUGUUAUGAACUCAGAAUUUCAUCCAUUUUUGUGUAAAUUUAAACCCAGUAGAUAAAGGAAUGAAUGUUGAAUUCUCAGAUUGAGUUUAUUUGGAGUUUCAUUUCAAUUUGAGUCUGGGUGUCAUUUGACUUUAAUUUAAAUUCCUUUUGAAUGAAUGAAUAUGGAAUUCUCAAGUUUGAGUUUAUAUUUGAA